rnacentral:rRNA from 1 species
UAGAUCUCAAAUCAGGUAGGACUACCCGCUGAACUUAAGCAUAUCAAUAAGCGGAGGAAAAGAAACUAACAAGGAUUCCCCUAGUAGCGGCGAGCGAAGCGGGAAGAGCUCAAAUUUAUAAUCUGGCACCUUCGGUGUCCGAGUUGUAAUCUCUAGAAGUGUUUUCCGCGUUGGACCGCACACAAGUCUGUUGGAAUACAGCGGCAUAGUGGUGAAACCCCCGUAUAUGGUGCGGACGCCCAGCGCUUUGUGAUACACUUUCAAUGAGUCGAGUUGUUUGGGAAUGCAGCUCAAAUUGGGUGGUAAAUUCCAUCUAAAGCUAAAUAUUGGCGAGAGACCGAUAGCGAACAAGUACCGUGAGGGAAAGAUGAAAAGCACUUUGGAAAGAGAGUUAACAGUACGUGAAAUUGUUGGAAGGGAAACGCUUGAAGUCAGACUUGCUUGCCGGAGCUUGCUUCGGUUUGCAGGCCAGCAUCAGUUUUCCGGGGUGGAUAAUGACGGUUUGAAGGUAGCAGUCUCGGCUGUGUUAUAGCUUUCCGUUGGAUACAUCCUGGGGGACUGAGGAACGCAGCGUGCUUUUU